rnacentral:rRNA from 1 species
AGCGAACGCUGGCGGCAGGCUUAACACAUGCAAGUCGAGCGGACCUUUCGGGGUCAGCGGCGGACGGGCGAGUAACGCGUGGGAACGUGCCUUCCGGUUCGGAAUAACCCUGGGAAACUAGGGCUAAUACCGGAUACGCCCUUAUGGGGAAAGGUUUACUGCCGGAAGAUCGGCCCGCGCCUGAUUAGCUAGUUGGUGGGGUAACGGCCUACCAAGGCGACGAUCAGUAGCUGGUCUGAGAGGAUGAUCAGCCACACUGGGACUGAGACACGGCCCAGACUCCUACGGGAGGCAGCAGUGGGGAAUAUUGGACAAUGGGCGCAAGCCUGAUCCAGCCAUGCCGCGUGAGUGAUGAAGGCCUUAGGGUUGUAAAGCUCUUUUAUCCGGGACGAUAAUGACGGUACCGGAGGAAUAAGCCCCGGCUAACUUCGUG